GUGACUGUAGUUUAGUGAUAAGAAUUCCACGUUGUGGCCGUGGAGAUUUGGGCUUGAAUCCCAGUAAUCACA